GUCCACGCCGUAAACGAUGGUCACUAGGUGUGUGUGGUAUCGACCCCGCACGUGCCGCAGCUAACGCAAUAAGUGACCCGCCUGGGGAGUACGGCCGCAAGGUUGAAACUCAAAGGAAUUGACGGGGGCCCGCACAAGCGGUGGAGCAUGUGGAUUAAUACGUCACUAACCGUAGAACCUUACCCAGGCUUGACAUCUAGGGAAUCCCCCUGAAAGGGGGGAGUGCUCGCAAGAGAGCCCUAAGACAGGUGUUGCAUGGCUGUCGU
rnacentral:rRNA from 1 species